UCUUGGAAGAGGUGCCAAUCCCAAGGGCUAUAUGGUAGAAGAAAUAUGGCAAGAGCUUGCAAAGGCAAAACACCUUGAGUGGGAACGAUCAUCGUCCAAACGAUCAUGGGAAUUGCAGAGCUUGAAAGAAGCUUGUGAGUCGGCUUUGAAGGAAAAACAUUUUCUUGAUUACUCCCAAAUGGAAGGAUUUGUGGAUGACGCUACUACUUCCCAUUCA